rnacentral:rRNA from 1 species
CCUACGGGUGGCAGCAGUGAGGAAUAUUGGUCAAUGGACGCAAGCCUGAACCAGCCAUGCCGCGUGCAGGAAGACGGCUCUAUGAGUUGUAAACUGCUUUUGUACGAGGGUAAACGCAGACACGCGUAUCUGUCUGAAAGUACCGUACGAAUAAGGAUCGGCUAACUCCGUGCCAGCAGCCGCGGUAAUACGGAGGAUUCAAGCGUUAUCCGGAUUUAUUGGGUUUAAAGGGUGCGUAGGCGGUCGGAUAAGUUAGAGGUGAAAUCCCGAGGCUCAACUUCGGAAUUGCCUUUGAUACUGUUCGGCUAGAGAGUAGUUGCGGUAGGCGGAAUGUAUGGUGUAGCGGUGAAAUGCUUAGAGAUCAUACAGAACACCGAUUGCGAAGGCAGCUUACCAAGCUACUUCUGACGUUGAGGCACGAAAGCGUGGGCAGCAAACAGGAUUAGAUACCCCAGUAGUC